rnacentral:rRNA from 1 species
UACGUAGGGGGCAAGCGUUGUCCGGAAUCAUUGGGCGUAAAGAGCGUGUAGGCGGCCCGGUAAGUCCGCUGUGAAAGUCCAGGGCUCAACCCUGGGAUGCCGGUGGAUACUGUCGGGCUCGAGUCCGGAAGAGGAGUGUGGAAUUCCUGGUGUAGCGGUGAAAUGCGCAGAUAUCAGGAGGAACACCGGUGGCGAAGGCGGCAUCCUGGACCGACACUGACGCUGAGGAGCGAAAGCCAGGGGAGCAAACGGG